AAUGCAAUCACUUGAUAGCUCUCGCGAGUGUGCCAUUUGAUCUUUAAUACUCCCUGUUUCAAUUUAUUUGACCUAUUUUGACUUGACAAUUGACACAGAGUUUAAGAAAAUAUAAACAUGUGGGCUUUUCGACUCUCUCAAUCGUGUGGCAGGCCAAAUCGGAGCUGAAGAGAUAGGCUGUGGCUGAUAAUGAGUCUGGAAAGAGUAAGCACAGCGAG
rnacentral:lncRNA from 1 species